rnacentral:rRNA from 1 species
UGACCUCAAAUCAGGUAGGACUACCCGCUGAACUUAAGCAUAUCAAUAAGCGGAGGAAAAGAAACUAACAAGGAUUCCCCUAGUAACUGCGAGUGAAGCGGGAAAAGCUCAAAUUUAAAAUCUGACAGUCUUUGGCUGUCCGAGUUGUAAUCUAGAGAAGCAUUAUCCGCGCUGGACCGUGUACAAGUCUCCUGGAAUGGAGCGUCAUAGAGGGUGAGAAUCCCGUCUUUGGCACGGACUGCCAGGGCUUUGUGAUGUGCUCUCAAAGAGUCGAGUUGUUUGGGAAUGCAGCUCAAAAUGGGUGGUAAAUUCCAUCUAAAGCUAAAUAUUGGCGAGAGACCGAUAGCGAACAAGUACCGUGAGGGAAAGAUGAAAAGAACUUUGGAAAGAGAGUUAAACAGUACGUGAAAUUGCUGAAAGGGAAACGCUUGAAGUCAGUCGUGUCAGUCAGGGAUCAGCCUUGCUUUUGCUUGGUGUACUUCCUGGCUGAUGGGUCAGCAUCAAUUUUGACUAUUGGAAAAAGAUCAGGGGAAUGUGGCAUCUUAAGAGAUGUGUYAUWUUCGUUGAUUUUAGGCAAUKRACGUCUUGAACCCGGACCUUYUUGG